rnacentral:rRNA from 1 species
UACGUAGGGGGCAAGCGUUGUCCGGAUUUAUUGGGCGUAAAGAGCGUGUAGGCGGCCAGACAGGUCCGUUGUGAAAACUCGAGGCUCAACCUCGAGAUGUCGAUAGAAACCGUCUGGCUAGAGUCCGGAAGAGGAGUGUGGAAUUCCUGGUGUAGCGGUGAAAUGCGCAGAUAUCAGGAAGAACACCUAUGGCGAAGGCAGCACUCUGGGACGGUACUGACGCUGAGACGCGAAAGCGUGGGGAGCGAACAGG